rnacentral:piRNA from 1 species
UGGACUUCAGCUCAAGUGGCUGAAUUGAUCA